GAAAUGCGAUAAGUAAUGUGAAUUGCAGAAUUCAGUGAAUCAUCGAAUCUUUGAACGCACAUUGCGCCCGCCAGUAUUCUGGCGGGCAUGCCUGUCCGAGCGUCAUUUCAACCAUCAAGCCCCCGGGCUUGUGUUGGGGACCUGCGGCUGCCCGCAGGCCCUGAAAACCAGUGGCGGGCUCGCUGUCACACCGAGCGUAGUAGAAAUCACCUCGCUCAGGGCGUGCUGCGGGUUCCGGCCGUUAAACAGCCUUACAAAACCCAAGGUUGACCUCGGAUCAGGUAGGAAGACCCGCUGAACUUAAGC
rnacentral:misc_RNA from 1 species